rnacentral:rRNA from 1 species
GACGAACCGUGCGAACGUUAUUCGGAAUCACUGGGCUUAAAGCGCGUGUAGGCGGGACGGCACGUCGGUCGCUGAAAUCCCCCGGCUCAACCGGGGAAGUGGCGCCGAUACGACCGUCCUGGAGGGACGUAGGGGGGGCUGGAACAUCCGGUGGAGCGGUGAAAUGCGUUGAGAUCGGAUGGAACGCCCGUGGCGAAAGCGAGCCCCUGGACGUUUUCUGACGCUGAGACGCGAAAGCCAGGGGAGCGAACGGG